rnacentral:rRNA from 1 species
CAGGAUUAGAUACCCUGGUAGUCCACGCCCUAAACGAUGUCAACUAGGUGUUGGAAGGGUUAAACCUUUUAGUACCGGAGCUAACGCGUGAAGUUGACCGCCUGGGGAGUACGGCCGCAAGGUUAAAACUCAAAGGAAUUGACGGGGACCCGCACAAGCGGUGGAUGAUGUGGAUUAAUUCGAUGCAACGCGAAAAACCUUACCUACCCUUGACAUGUCCAGAAGCCCUUAGAGAUUUGGGUGUGCCCGAAAGGGAGCUGGAACACAGGUGCUGCAUGGCUGUCGUCAGCUCGUGUCGUGAGAUGUUGGGUUAAGUCCCGCAACGAGCGCAACCCUUGUCGUUAAUUGCCAUCAUUUAGUUGGGCACUUUAACGAGACUGCCGGUGACAAACCGGAGGAAGGUGGGGAUGACGUCAAGUCCUCAUGGCCCUUAUGGGUAGGGCUUCACACGUCAUACAAUGGUCGGUACAAAGGGUCGCCAACCCGCGAGGGGGAGCCAAUCCCAGAAAGCCGAUCGUAGUCCGGAUCGUAGGCUGCAACUCGCCUGCGUGAAGUCGGAAUCGCUAGUAAUCGUGGAUCAGCAUGUCACGGUGAAUACGUUCCCGGGUCUUGUACACACCGCCCGUCACACCAUGGGAGCGGGUUCCGCCAGAAGUAGGUAGCCUAACCGCAAGGAGGGCGCUUACCACGGCGGGGUUCGUGACUGGGGUGAAGUCGUAACAAGGUAACC